rnacentral:rRNA from 1 species
GCUCAGUAACACGUGGAUAACCUGCCCUCAGGUGGGGGUUAUUCUCGGGAUUCUGUGGAUAAUACCCCAUAGGCCAUUGAUGCUGGAAUGCUCUCUGGCCGAAUGCUCCGGCGCCUGAGGAUGGGUCUGCGGCCUAUCAGGUAGUAGUUGGGGUAACGGCCCAACUAGCCUGCGACGGGUACGGGCCUUGAGAGAGGGAGCCCGGUGUUGGACUCUGAGACACUAGUCCAGGCCCUACGGGGCGCAGCAGUCGCGAUUUCUUCACACUGCGGGAUCCCGUGAUGAGGGAUCCCCAAGUGCCUGGGCAUUAGCUCAGGCUGUUCACCUGUCUAAUUUUCAGGUGGAGUAAGGGGCUGGGGUAAGUACGGGUGCCAGCCGCCGCGGUAAUACCGGCAGCCCAAGUGGUGACCAUUUUUAUUGAGCCUAAAACGUCCGUAGCCGGUCCGGCAAAUCCCUGGGGCAAAUCGGGCAGCUCAACUGUUCGACUUCCAGGGAGUCUACCGGACUAAGGGACCGGGAGUGGGCCAGUGGUACGUCGGGGGGAGGGGGUAAAAAUCCUUUAAUCCUCGACGGACCACCGGUGGGCGAAGGCGUCUGGGCUAGAACGGAUCCCAAGGUAAGGGACGAAGGGCUAGGGGCGCAAACCGG